GCUCAGAUUGAACGCUGGCGGCAGGCCUAACACAUGCAAGUCGAGCGGUAGCACAGGGAGCUUGCUCCUGGGUGACGAGCGGCGGACGGGUGAGUAAUGUCUGGGAAACUGCCUGAUGGAGGGGGAUAACUACUGGAAACGGUAGCUAAUACCGCAUAACGUCGCAAGACCAAAGAGGGGGACCUUCGGGCCUCUUGCCAUCAGAUGUGCCCAGAUGGGAUUAGCUAGUAGGUGGGGUAAUGGCUCACCUAGGCGACGAUCCCUAGCUGGUCUGAGAGGAUGACCAGCCACACUGGAACUGAGACACGGUCCAGACUCCUACGGGAGGCAGCAGUGGGGAAUAUUGCACAAUGGGCGCAAGCCUGAUGCAGCCAUGCCGCGUGUAUGAAGAAGGCCUUCGGGUUGUAAAGUACUUUCAGCGAGGAGGAAGGCAUUGUGGUUAAUAACCACAGUGAUUGACGUUACUCGCAGAAGAAGCACCGGCUAACUCCGUGCCAGCAGCCGCGGUAAUACGGAGGGUGCAAGCGUUAAUCGGAAUUACUGGGCGUAAAGCGCACGCAGGCGGUCUGUCAAGUCGGAUGUGAAAUCCCCGGGCUCAACCUGGGAACUGCAUUCGAAACUGGCAGGCUAGAGUCUUGUAGAGGGGGGUAGAAUUCCAGGUGUAGCGGUGAAAUGCGUAGAGAUCUGGAGGAAUACCGGUGGCGAAGGCGGCCCCCUGGACAAAGAC
rnacentral:rRNA from 1 species